UUUAAUUAUUGUCAUACCGUUUUCUUUUGUAAUUUUCGGUUUUUGAGGGUUUUGGAAAACUGUUGUUAUAAAAAUUUGUCGUUCUUUUCGAUCGAUUGCAACCUCACAAAUGUCAAUUGUUUGGUUUGUUUUUUUGGUAAGUUUUCACGUCGAGAUGUAUUUGAAGUUGAGGUAGAUGUUGAAAUGUGUCUUUGAGUACCGCUAGGACCUGGUAUUUGUGAAUUAUGACUUGAGUUUGAUCUUACAGUUUCAAAUUCUGUUAAUAAAUUUUCUGGUGUUUGCGCUCUAAUUGGGGAAUUUAAAUUUUGAGUUGGUAAAGAUUCGGGAGUUCUUAAUUCUCUGUUUUCAGAUUCAAUUAUUUCAUUGAGUAAUUAAUUGUUCAAGUUCGUCAUCGGGUUGUACUGCUGUUGAUUUUGCGUCAAUUUCGAUUGGGUAAAUUUGAAUGCGAGAUAAUGCGUCAGCGUUUGUGUUAUAUUUGCCUUUUUUAUAAACAAUGUCGUAGUCGUAUUCUUCUAAUUUUAACCUCCAUCUGACUAGUUUUGAAUUUGGUUCUUUUAAUGAGAAAAGCCAUUGAAGUGGGCGGUGAUCGGUAUAAAUUGUAAAUUUUCUUCUCUUUUUCAAUUGUGGAAUAUUUUUGUUCGGUUUCAUUCAAUGUUUGGAGGUAUAUGCUAUUGGUUUAUCUUCUCUUAAUUUUCCUUGAGAUAAUACAGCACCAAGCGCUACGUUUGAAGCGUCUGUUGUUAAAAUGAAAGGUUGUGUAAAAUCUGGAUAUUGCAAAAUUGGAUGGUUUAUUAAAAUUUGUUUGCAUGUUUCGAAACUUUUAAUGAAUUGUUCGUUAUGUUCAAUUUUGGAAUUCUUUUUCAAACAUUUGGUUAAGGGUUUUGUCAAAAGAGCAAAAUUUGGAAUAAAUCUUCGGUAAUAUCCAAGUAAUCCUAAAAAUGAUUUGAUUUCUUUUUGUGUUCUUGGUAUUGGGUACUUCAUUACAGCUUUGAUUUUUUCGGGGUUCGGUUUAACUCCUUCGGGUGUUAUAAUAUGACCUAAAUAUGCGACCUCUUUUCGUAAAAAUUCACUUUUAUCUAACUGGAUUUUAAAGUUUGCAUUUCGUAAUCUUUCAAAAACUUCUUUGAGUCGGACAAUAUGUUCCUCGAGUGAUGUUGAAAAUAUUAUUAUGUCAUCUAAAUAAACAAAACAUUUUUUAUUUUGAAUUCCUCUUAAAAUGUUAUCCAUAACUCUUUGAAAUGUUGCGGGCGCGUUCUUUAAACCAAAAGGCAUUCUUAGGUAUUCAUAAUGACCAUUUUCUGUGCUGAAGGCGGUUUUUUCUAUAUCAUCGGGGUUCAUUUGAACUUGGUGGAAACCGGAUGCUAAAUCGAGGGUUGUGAAAUAUAUACUUUUUCCAAGUUUAUCUAAAAUGUCAGUUAUGUUUGGCAAAGGGUACUUAUCAUUAACAGUUUUUUCGUUUAAUUUUCGAUAGUCUGCUACUAAUCUCCAUUUCUUUUUUCCUGAUGCAUCUAAUUUUUUUUCGACAAUCCAAAUUGGACUGGACCAAGGUGAUGUUGAUGGUCUGAUUAUACCUUGAGUUAGCAUUGAAUUUAUUUGUUUUCUCACUUCUUCUUUGUGAAUUUCUGGGUAUCGAUAAGUUUUUGUAAAUAUUGGGUUGUUGUCUUUUGUUCGGAUGUAAUGUUUAAUUUGAUUGUUAAAAGUUAGAGGUAAGUUUUCACAAUAAAAUAUAUCUCUGUAAUCAAAGCAUAAAUUUUUGAUUUGUCUUUGUUCUUCUGAAUUUAAAUGUGAUAUUCUGAUAUUUUUCAAAUUUUCUUUUAAUUGUUGGUCAAUAUUUGAGUCGAUUGGGGUUAUUAUUGGUUCUGGGUUUAUAUAAAAAGUGUUUAUCGCCUCAAUUUUUAAUGGUUCAAAUAGCAUAAAACAUAAUUCUUUUUCUGUGGGGUUGAUUAUUGGGGUUGUCGCGAUUUGAUUUUUUACUGUGACGAAUGAUGACGGUGUUUCGACUUCAUUAAAUUUGAUAUAUGAUAAAAUUCUUUCAUUUAUGUCUUUAUCAACAGGGAUGUUUAUUAUCUGUUCUGAUCUUGGGGGUAAAGUGACUUUAAAAAUUGGUUUUUUCUUUUUUAUUUCAUCUGAUUAAAAAUAUAUUGGUAUUUUUACUUUAUUUGUUACAAAAAGUUUCUUUCCAAAAUCGAGGGAUGCAUUUAAUUUUCUGAUCAAAUCUAUGCCUAUUAAUCCAUUAUAUUUUGGGUUAAAAUCGACAAGAUAAUGUUUGUGUUUCAAAUCUGGUCUUUCGAAAAUUUUUGAAAGGGGAAUUGUUGCACUUGCUUUAUGACGUGUUGUUCCAUGAACUGAAUGUAUUUCAAAAGGAUCUGAGACUAUUAAAUUUGGAUAAAAAUUUUGUGCGAUUUUUGGACUUAAAAGUGUUUUUGCGGAGCCUGUAUCUUAUCAUCAUCUUUGCGUUAAAUUCGGGUAGAAUUAUGUAUGGUAGUUUUGAAAUGUAAUUCCGGUCAAUAUUUAAUUCGAUUACGUUUGAUUGUUUAUUGGAGGCUGUAUCCAAAAAUUUUGGGAAGGAUUUUCAUUUUCUGUUUCGGGAAAAUUGUUUGUUUCAGCAAAAUUAUUUAUGUCGUCAAAUUCUUCUGUGUUUUCAUUUAUUUGAUUUUCAGGGUUUUCUGCAUCUUGAUAAUAUAAUUCUUCAAAAGUAAAAUUUGGUCUUUGUUGAGAGGGUUGUCUUUGUGGUUGUUGUCUCAUUUGAUUGUUUCGACUGAUUGUGGAAGUUUCCAUUGGAACUGGUUUUGGAAAUUUACGAUUUGGGUUUGGUUGGAAAACGUUUUGUGUGUUGCGCGGUUGUUGAUUUUGAACAUUUUGAAAAUUAUUUUGGGGAUUAUUUUGGAAAUUUCGUUGUUGAUUGUAGAACUGGUUUUGGUAUUGAUUUUGGUAACUUUGCCUUGGAAAAUUUUGUGAAUAAUUUCUCGGAUAAUUCUGAGAAUAAUUUUGUGGAUUAUUUUGGUAAGUUCUUCUUUGAUUUUGGUUGUAAUUAUUCGUGUUAAAUCUCGGUCUUACAUUUUGUUGGCCUCGAAAAUUCUGAUUGCGCGAUUGAGAAGUUAAAGGACGUUGAUGCGAUUGCGGUUCAGCAUUUCUAUUAAUAAAAUGAGUCGGGGUAUUGUUUGACCUGUAUUCUCUGGUUUUGUUUUGAAUUAAAUAAUUUGUUCGAUUUUUCACAUAACGAAUAUUUUCUUCGUCGAGAAUUUUGGAAAGGGCUUGUUCUAGAGUUUGUGGAUUUCGCGAUCUUAUAAUUGAACCAAGUGGCUCUUUUAGUCCGCUUAAAAAUGCUUUUAAUGUUAACUUGUCGAACAUUUCACGUUUCACAGCUCUGACAGCUUCAUUCAACUCGGUUACUGCUAAAUUAGACAAUAAUAAACUUUUUAUAUCUUGACAACGAUGGCAGAAUUGUUGCGGAGUUUCGCUUUCUUGUUUUAAUAGCAUUAAGUCUCUUAAUAGUGAAUUUUCGUCUCUCUGGUCAGCAAAAUUUUGUUGUAAUGCUACCUUUAAUGCGUUCCAAGUAUUUAUUUCACGAGAGCUAGUUACUAGUUUUGCCUCUCCGAUUAAUUUUGUUUUUAUUGAGGUUAAUAUAAAUUUGUUUAUGAAAGCUUCUUGAUUUGGGUCUGAAAAUGUGUUUAUUAGAAGAUCACAUGCUGCGAUAAAAUCUGCAAGUUCUGAUGGUUCUCCGUUGAAUUGUGGAAUUAUUUUUAAAUAUUCUGAUUGAAAUUGUUGAGCCAUUCUUUCUCUAUGAGUCUGUGUAUUUAUGUUAAAUUCGUCAAUAAUUAAGUUUCUAAUUAAAUUUUCGAGUUCGUUUAUUUCUGAGUCUGAGCUUGAGUCUGGUGAACUUGAAAUUGAGGAAUCUGACAUGCAAUUGGUUAAGGAAACGAGUAUUACUCACAGUUUUGUGCAAUUCUUCAUUGGGUUCAAGGAACGAAAGAAUCCGGCGAUUUUUGUCCUCUGAGUCUUAGGUUCCGGGAAUUGAGAUUGGAAUUGACCUCCGGCGAUGUUGUCCAGAAAUACUCCAAUCUUCAAUAUGUGGAAUUAGGAGAGUCCAGCGAUGUUUGUCCGGAAACUCGAAAUUCGAAAUCUUCAAAAAUCUUCAAUAAAAUCUUCAAGGGAAUAUCUUCAAGAAAAAUCUUCAAUUAUCUUCAAUUAUGUCUUCGGUAAAAUCUUCAAUAAUGUCUUCGUAAAAAUCUUCAAUAUUCUUCAACUCUUGAAACUUUGGUAUUUCGGCGUUGAGCGUUGUUGUCUCGCGGCUCGAAAAUAUCCAAAAAUUGUUCUUCACAAUAAAGUAUUAAAAUACAAGGAAUCCUUUGGGAAUUGUCCUCUGUGAAUCCUUUGUGAAUUUUACUGACUGCGCCAGUUAACGUGGGAGCGUUAACAAAUUAUUUUUUAAAAACUAUUUAUUUUCACUAUUUUUAUUUACACUUUAUAUUUAUUGUUACAACUUCACUUUUACAAUUAUUUCACUUGUUAUUAAUAAAUUAUAACUUUUACAAUUUUAUGAAUGGCUUGAAAUUAACGACAGGCAGCACCACGACUCAAGAUUAUGUUCCAGACUGAAAAUGCGUAUUUUCCUGAUCUGAAUUUAUAAUAAUAAUUACUGCAGGAGUUGCAAGGUUUUUGAUGACCACGGUGUUGGAAAGCGCGUGUCGUCAAUAGAUCCUUAUGGAAGGUUUCAUGCUGAUCCACGGCACGUGGAUGGCGAUAACAUAACACGCUUCAGUUUUUUUCCUCCUUACAAUUUUAGUAUGGUUCCAGUUUAGUUAUUGUGUUUAGUUCAACUCAGUUCUAAUCCAGUUCCAGUUCAGUCACAAUUCCAGUGCAGUUUCAGUUCAGUUAACAGUAACAACUCAUUGGUGACUUCGACGAGAUUAGUGACAGGCGCUUAGUGUAAUAGUGUUUGAGAUAAAUGUCUACAACAGAAGUAAUGUCUCUGGAGAAGUGAAAAGUGCUUGGACCCUCGAAAAUGUGUGGCAAAUUAGAAGGAACACACUUAUCCUAGUUUGAAUGCCAGCUAACCCUAUAGAUAUUAGAUAAACUCCAUCAAGUAGUGCUUUAGGAACACAUGUGAAAACCUGCAUUGUACCACCUUGUCAACAACCUAUUGCAAGUUUCAUCUGUAUGUAAGGUGCCUAAGAUAGUGUGUUUUCUAAAAGAACUGAAGGAAUUUUGUUCGUUUUGCUUAAUCUGCGACUGAAUGUUGAGUAAAUAGGAGGGGCAAAUUCAUCCUUAAGGACGUGCCUCACUACCCCGGGCGGGGCGGGGCCCGGGGAUUACCAGAAAAGGUGGAGGAAUCGAAGAAUCUAUUGAACUCACCGACGUUGCCCUUUGGUUUUUUCAUGAUUUUGUUUGAGGAAAAAUGCUGCUCCACCUUUUUCUGAUCAACUGGUCACACAUUGCAAGAAUUGCAAGGGAACCACGGUGUCCCUAUUUAGAAAUUUUAAGCCUCGGUAACUCUUUACUUGAGGUGAAUCCAAUUUAAAGGAAGAACACGUGGAUGACAAUUGGAGAGAAGUUCGAAACCAAUAUUAAUUGAUUUUCAGUCAGUUUCAGUGUGUUUUCAGUUCAGUUCCGCUUCAGUUCUGUUCAUCCUUACAAUUUAGUUAUUGUGUUUAGUUCAACUCAGUUGAACACAUGUGAAAACCUGCAUUCUACCACCUUGUCAACAACUUAUUGCAAGUUUCAUCUGGAUGUAAGGUGCCCAGGAUAGUGUGUUUUCUAAAAGAAUUCAAGGAAUUUUGUUCGUUUUGUUUAAUCUGCGACUGAAUGUUGAUUGUAUAUAGGAGGGGCAAAUUUAUCCUUAAGGACGUGCCUCACUACCCCGGGCGGGGCGGGGCCCGGGGAUUACCAGAAAAGAUGGAGGAAUCGAAGAAUCUAUUGAACUCACCGACGUUGCCCUUUGGUUUUUUCAUGAUUUUGUUUGAGGAAAAAUGCUGCUCCACCUUUUUCUGAUCAACUGGUCACACAUUGCAAGAAUUGCAAGGGAACCACGGUGUCUCUAUUUAGAAAUUUUAAACCUCGGUUACUCUUUACUUGAGGUGAAUCCAAUUUAAAGGAAGAACACGUGGAUGACAAUUGGAGAGAAGUUCGAAACCAAUAUUAAUUAAUUUUCAGUCAGUUUCAGUGUGUUUUCAGUUCAGUUCCACUUCAGUUCUGUUCAUCCUUACAAUUUUAGUAGUGUUUCAGUUUAGUUAUUGUGUUUAGUUCAACUCAGUUGAACAAAUGUGAAAACCUGCACUGUACCACAUUGUCAACAACCUAUUGCAAGUUUCAUCUGGAUGUAAGGUGCCCAGGAUAGUGUGUUUUCUAAAAGAAUUCAAGGAAUUUUGUUCGUUUUGUUUAAUCUGCGACUGAAUGUUGUGUAAGAAGGAGGGGCAAAUUCAUCCUUAAGGACGUGUCUCACUACCCCGGGCGGGGCGGGGCCCGGGGAUUAAAAGAAAAGGUGGAGGAUUCGAGGAAUCUAUAGUUCACACCAACGUUGUGCUUGAAUUUUUCGAUGAAGUUAUUUGAGAAAAAAUGCCUCAUCUUUUUCUGGUAAAUUGCCCAGACAUUGCAAGAAUGCAAGGGUUGAAUCACUGUGUCUCUAUUUAGAAAUUUUAAGCCCUGGUAACUCUACUUGAAGUUAAUUAAAUUUAAAGGAAGAACACGUGGAUGACAGUUGAAGAGAAGUAACAAACCAAGUGUCAGUUUAUUUUCAGUUCAGUUCAUUUGUAAUACAGUUUAGUUUUAUUUAAUUCAGUUACGUUCCGUUUCAGUUCUGUUUCACUUUACAGUUUUAUUGUGAUUCCAGUUUAGUGUCAGUUCAGUUUCAGUUUUAGUUCAGUUAACAAUAUAGUUGUGACGUGGACAGUGAGUGGUGAGUGGUGGAAAUAGUGUUUGAAAUAAAUGUCUACAAACGGAACUAAAAAAGGAAGACAAAGAGAAGUGAAAAGUGCUUUGGGUUUCGAAAAAGUGUCUGCGAAAAAAAGGACCAGUUUAUCGCUUGCCCAGCAAACCCUAGAUAGUACAACUGUCGUCGCUAAUUUGGACUACAAAGUAGAAUCGCUAUAAAGAAAUUCCCUCAGGCAAUGCUUCAGGAACGAAUCGUUUAAUUACCUGAAACUGACAGCCCGUAUUAUACCAUAUUGUCAACAAUCCAUCUGCUGCGUGCCUUCAAUCAAAUACUUAUUGUCACAGAGUAGAGGAGAGUUUAUGGUGACUACUUACGCUUCCUGUUGCCUUUUUAUCCUCCAACUAUGAGAUGGCCUUUUUCUGUGCAUUUGUCUAGUGGUUUGCUGAUAAAUAUUGAUUUGUUUGCGAUGGCUCUCAAACAACAACCUAACGCUCUAAACGCUUUUGCCUCUUGUUCGAUCGUCCGUAUUGUACCCCAUAUCGUCAACAACAGAUCUGCUGCGUUCUCCUUUUACCCUUCAACACAAUGGAUCCUUUUCCGUGCAUUUACAAGUGGAUCGCUGAUAAAUAUUUAUUUGAACAAAACAACCUAAUGCUCUUUGUCAAAGAGACCGUCCGUCAACAUAGUGUUGACCCGGAUUGAUACGAAUGAACUUUCUGCUGCAAUGGGAUUCUUCGAUCAACACAAUGCACUCGUAAUGCACUGUUCUGAUUAACGGUGAAGGUACAAGUUUUGGACGACAUUUUAUAGAAGCAAGAAAUCCGAAUAACACCUAACAUGGAAACUCUGGAAAUACAAAAUCUGCAACAAAGCUUUUUACUUGAAAAUUUGCGCAUAAAUUUGUGCUUCGUUCAUCGAUUGGAUUAUUCGAAAUUAUGCUUAAGUAAUGGAAACAGUCUGUAUCGAAGACAUUAGAAGAAAUACAUUACUUUUAAAAGACCACAGCUCAAAAACUUUUAUUUAAUCAGUCGAUUUAUCUGGAAACUUGUCUCAAAUGGAGUAGCAUCGUAUACUGUUAAAAAGAAAUUACUUCAGGCAAUGAAAACGAAUAGUUUGAUCGUCGGAAAGCUCUUAUUUUACCAUAUAGUCAACAGUAGAUCUGCUGCGCGUCUUCGAUCAUGUACCUAUUGUUCCGGAGAAGAAUUUAUAGUGGCUACUUACCCUCUUGUUGAUCGUUUUCCCAACACAUAUGAGAUGGUUCUUUCCUAAGCAUUUGACAAAUGUUGCGACGGCUCUUCAACAACUCCACGAAUUGUUGAUACCUCUAAACGCUUUUGCCAAAGAGAUCGACCGUCGACAUAAAGAUGAUGGAAGUAGGCCUUAUCCAGAGAGAUUAUGAAUGAAAUUUCUGCUGCAAUGGGAUCUCCGAUCAACCGGAUAACAAUAUUUUAAAGGACAGUGGACUCGUACUGUUCUAAUUAAAGGUGAAGAUUUUGGACAACAUAUUAUAAAAGCAAGAAAUCCAAGUAACAUCAUACAUGGUGGAAAUAUAGUGGAAAGUAUAGAAAUACAAAAUGUACAAGUCGUUUUAAAUCGUUGUGGACGCGACUCGCGAGUAGCAAAAUUUAUGUUCCUUUAAAUAUCAUCGGUUGGAUCAUUGGAAAUAUGCCAAGCAAUGGAAAGUCUUUAUCAAAGACAUUGCAAGAAAGACAGUACCGUUGAAAGGCACAGUCCAAAUACUUUGACUUGAUCACUGGAUUAACCUGAAAAUUUUUCUCAAAUAAAUUUCACCAUUUCCGUUUGGACAUGAGGAUUACUUACUCGAGCUUGCUAUGUAGUAAAGGUUUACUCAACAACAAAACGUCCUUCAGUCAAUAAUGUUUACUACAUUUAUUAUUAAUCACCAGCAGACAGACAAUUCAAAACAUUGUUCAUUUUUUACAAGUAAUCUGCUCAACUUUUUAAGUUUUCUUCAACGAUCUUCGAGGGAGAACUUCAAAAUAUGUUGUAACAAAAUUACAAAUUUUGUACAAAAUUGCUAAAUCUGUGAUGUUGUUGAUUAUUCAAGUUUUUGGGGCUUUUCUCUACAUGUGAACUAUGUUUUUGAUGAGAUGUUCUCACUUUUGUUUUAAUUUUAUUUUCUCCAAGAUUAGCUAUUUUGCAAAUUUGACAUCAUUAUUUCUUAUUGAUUGAUCAUUGAAAACAUAGUAAAUUUUUAAUAAAAGUUGUUAGAUUUAAGAAGACGAAUGUGAAGCAGAUUUAUUGUUGAUUUCUCUGUUGUUUUACCAGCACAGAAAUAUCAGUAAAUCUGUUUAUAAUACGAUGUGCAGAAUUUUUUAUUCGUUUGAAAAGAAUGAAAAAAAAAUAAAAUAAAACAAAAAAAAAUACAUUGCAAAAAAUACAAAAAAUAAAAAACAAAAAAUUACAGAACAUUAAAAAACAAAAAAAUAUACAAAACAUAAAAUACAAGGCAAAAAAAGUAAAAAAAAAUCAAGUAAAUACAAGACAAAGAAAUACAAAAAAAAACAAAAAUGUAAAAAUAAAAAAACUGAAAUACGAAAAGACACCAGUUAACAAAUGUAAGAUAGCUUUUCCAAACAUUUAAGUUAUUGAAUUUUGAUGUGCAAAAAAAAUCAUUUAAGACAAGAUCAUUUUUUAUAAGUUUGUAAAAGCUGUUUGUGUUUUAUUUUGUGUUUUAUUUGAAUUCGUCUAAAUAACAUGACUUUCGCAAAUUUUUUACAUAAGUGUGAAAUGUAAUGAGAUUUGGAAAACAUUUUUAAUUUAGUUUUGCAUUUGGCUUAUGAUUCAUAGUAAAAUGACAUUCUGUUUUCCAAAUUUCAAUAAUAAUUGUAAUGUACUGACUAUUGUGUCAGUUUUAAAUAAAUUCUUAGUUUUAAGUGGGCGAAUGUGAAGCAGAUUUAUUGUUGUGAUUUCUCUGUUGUGUUUUACCAGCACAGAAAUAAUAACAGUAAAUCUGCUUAUAAUCAGUUGUGCAGAAUUUUUGGUUGUUUAAAAACAAUGAAAAAAAGAAUAUACAACAAAAAAUACAAGACAAAAAAAUAAAAAUAAAAUAAUGCAAGAAUGACAAAAAAUACAAAUGAAAAAAUAAGAAAAACAGCAAUGCAGAUUAAAAAAAAUAAUAAAAAAGAAUGAAGAUUAAAAGAAUACAAUAAUGUGACUCGCAAAUUGUUUUAAUAAAAGAAAUGUAAUGAGAUUUGGAAAACUUUUUAGAUUUUGUUUUGCGUUUGUUCUAUGAUUCACUUUAAAUUGACAUCCUGUUUUCCAAAUCUCAAAAGUAAUUGUGAUGUACCGAUAAUUAUAAUGUCAAUGAACACAGUUUUGUAAACGCUUUCAUUACUUUCUGUAAACUUAGAAUAAGUAAUUACCGGUCUUAAAAAGGUCAAAUUGUUAGAUUUUUGGAUAUACGUAUUUGGUCUAAAAAUCGUGAUUAACAUUUUAUGUAUUUGUUUUACAUUUUGGAAGGUAUCUUUGUUCGUUGUUAAUGUAUGGGAUAUUCGUUAACGAAAUACGGAAAAUAUUUUAUUAUUGGAAAUUUCAACAUUUCAAUUUCAUAUUUUACGUUCUUGUUUUAAAAAGUAAUAAUUACAAUCAUUUAAAAUAGUUUUUCCGUAUUUCAGUUCGAUAUCUUUUUGAAAUUACUAUUAUUGUAAUAACAUUUUGUGAGAUGACGUAAUUUUGUUUUAUUUAUUGUUAAGAGAUAAGUUGCCAAAAAGACCGGGAAAUAAUGAAUUGAUUUUUGGAGAUUUCAUUGGCCUAAAAAUCAAUUGACAAUAUAUUUAGGUUAAGUUCUGUUAAAUGUUUAGUUAAAUUAUUGGAUUAUUGGACU